AUCCACGACAAGCAUAGAGGACCCAUGAACUGAAACAGAGCACUGGUGUUAAGUUAGACCAGAGGAGCACACACACGGUCAGGUUUCAGGAACCACUGCUUCAUAAUUGUCCUUUUUAAACUGAGUGCUGGUUAAAUAAUCACAACCCUCUUAUUACAAGGUUAAGUUCAACUUGACACCAGCAAUAAUGGCUUGUAAUGAGCUAGAUUGGCUGAGACUGGACAUUAUGGAUUUGGUAGUGUAUAUACUAUAUACUGGAAAAUGGUAGCAUAGUCUUUGUAUGCUUAUUUUUUGAAUCGACAACACUCUACAGUCUUGAUGCUUAACUGUUGCUUUGAAAUAUUUGGAUCGCAUAUUAAACUAGAGUUUCAGUGUUGAAACUCGAUUCCUUGAAUCAAAGAGUUAAAUACUAGACAACAAGGUCACUUUGAUGCAAGCUAACCGUUUACAUGAGGCUUCAGCGUUUUGGAUUCUAGGUUUGAUGUUUACAUGAGACUAUUUUCCAGUUUACCUGAUCCAAUAUUUGCUGAUUGUAGACUUGUACUGUAUGCCAAUGAAGUCAGAUGACGUUUCUCAAUGGGGAAAGUUGGACAUUGUGUGUUAUCAGUUGUUUCUUCAUAGCACACAGCUAAAUUUCACAUUAUCUUCAUUGUAUAGCUGAUCCUCUGCCCCUCUGUAUUAAGCCUAGAAUCUGAAUAUUUUGUACUUUGACAGUUUAGCAUAUACCAUCUUCUUAGAUUUCUUCUAUUAAUGUUAAUAGAGUGUAUAAUCAUUAAGAACUAUUCCCAGCCAAAAUAAUUAAGCCCGUAUGAAAUACUUUAGUUGUACAACAACUUAAUUGCAUUAUUUCUAUUUUAUACAGCAGGAAGGACCCAGAUUAGUGAUGUUCAUAUGUACAGAAAACCGUACGAGAUUUUCAUGACAAUAUGUAUGAUCUCUACUUGUAAAGACUGGUACUUUAAGCCUAGAGUGACCCCUUUUGGAAAAUAUAAGAAAUUUUCAUCUUAGAAUGACCCAACGAAUUUCCCCAUUGAGAAUUUUUCAGCUUAGAAUGACCCAACAAUUUCCAGUUUACUUUAAGCUUGGAAUGACCCAACAAUUUCCAGUUUACUUUAAGCUUAGAAUGACCCAAUGAAGUGUACUUUGCAUCAUACAAAAGGAAAUUGUUGUGUACUCAGUAUGUACUUGCAAAAUAUAAGGAACACAUAUAUAAGAACAGUAAACCACGUCUAAAGUUUGUAUCUAUACAUAAUAUUUUGGUCUACUGAAUCUGGUUAUAUUAACUUGGUUGGUGGUCAUUGCUUCCUUUUUUAGCUAUUUGUACGCCGAUUUGAGCACACACAAUUAUUUUAAUUAUUCUACAGGGACAGAUGAGGCCGCCGCAAUCCCAUGCCUCGCUCAAUGUGUGAAUGGCCCCUCAGGAUAAUUUGCACCAAGUACUUCAGGUCAGCCUACUUAUGUUGUUUUAAGCACAAUCAUUCUAUUUUAAAUCAGUUGAAAAUAAAUUGAUCUAAAAUGCCUAAUUCAUUUCUUAGUCCUAUAAUUUUGGAUGUAAGGCGGCUUUCUCGAUCUUGGCCUUGAAGUUAGGAUGAUGCGCGACUGGCUUGAAAGGAGUUGGAGUUCUACCAAACAACUCGAAAGUCGGUGAUGUCUCCGUAGUUCUUCUACACAUAUUGUCACUGGUUUCCAUCACUUUUCUUUCCCAUAAAGACACCAAAUUCCAUGGGCGUCAUGAUGAUCACUAGAAAAAUGACUAUGUACAUAUUAAAUCUACAAGCAAUUGAUGCCCUGUUUAAUCACAAAAUCAAGGGUUUCGACUAAUGUUUAUUCAAAGCAUUUAUGUAUCAUUCAAUAUAAGUCAUUGUUUUAAAAUAAAUUUACUGAGCUAGAGACACGAG
rnacentral:lncRNA from 1 species